GGAAGAUGGAACCCUGGAGGAUCUCGCAACUAAAUGCUCCAGCCUGGCUGAAAUAUAUGUCACUUCUGCAUCCAAUCGAUUGACUAGAAUUAGUCAUAUGGCUCUGCCCAACCGCUAGGGAAGCUGGGAAGUUUACUCCUCCCAUGUUUCCCAAAGGAGAAGAGAACUGAAUAUGGAAAAUUUGUCUCCAAUGUGCUGUUGGGCCAUACGUUGUCUCUUUAUUACAUCCCAGAGGGAGAAAGUUAAGUGGAAAAGAUUCUGCAGUUUAACUAUGAGAGGACAUUAUACAUUUCAGUAGAAGAAAAAAAUUCAUCAAAAGAUGCUGAAGAAAGACUCUUGCGACGACUCAGUUUUACCCUUUCCAUCUGAAGUCAGUCGGUCUUUGGUGCAGCUUAUCUCCUUUUGAGGGCCUGGAAUUGAGGGAGAGCUGGCAAGGACAGAAGGAAGAGAAAAGAUCCAGGUACAGUGACUGGAAGCUGCACCACCCAAGAAAGUCUCAGGAUACACAACAGGGGAAGGCACUGAAGUCCUAAGCUGGAAAACAAAGCAAAACAAAACAAAGGCCCAGCAUGGGAAAAGAUGAAAUGCAAUACUGAACACAGAGUACAUACUGAGGCAUCUUUUUAUAUGGUGAAUGGUAGAGUUUUGUGGCCUGAAUUCAUAGACAAUAACAUAGAAUUUAAUAAUACAAAAGCUACUAUUUAUUGAAUGCUUCUUGGACCAGGGACCAUGCUAAGUACUUUACAGAGAUUGUUUUACUCAGUCCUCAUACAACCAUUGGUUUUGGUCUCAUUUCACAGAUGAGGAAAUGGAGGGUUGAAAAGAUUAAGCAUUCACCCAGUAAGUAGGCCAGCAGUCUGACUCCAGAGUCUAGAACACUCUCUGCCACCUUAUAGUGCCAAUGUAUUGGUGAGGGUUCUUAUUCGCAAGCAACAAAAACGAACUCUAAAGGAGAAAAAUGCUGGAGGAAAGAGGCCUCAUAGAUCCGAAGAGACUGAGAGAACAGCCUUGGAAAACAGGCAGGGAUCCAAGGCUUCAAGGGGCCAGACCACAGGAAGACUAUGCAAGAUGCCGCCAUCUCUGCUUCUGCUGCGCCACCGCUGGACAUCAUGCUGACCUCAUCAGCUGCCCCAGAUGCUCUUCCUUCAUCUCUGGGUGCACAGGCCUGGGUGGGAGGGUUCACUGCCAGGUGUUGGGGACCCUACUCCACAUUCCAGGAUGUGGGGAGAGUGAGAGUCAAACUGUUUGGAAAACAUGCUCCUACAUCCCAAGAUCACACUCAGUGAUGUAAGGACAGAUGGAUUUGGACAGGCAAAAGAAUGUACAAUGCCCUCCCAGAUUACCUACUGUAGCCACUUUGUAGCAAAUCAUUCCAUUAGGAAAGUAAAUGUAGGUCUGUUAAAAUAAUUUUGAAAGGUCAGGCAAGGUGGAUUUGUGCAAAUAUUAAAUAAUGCAGAUCAAAACCUGAUUGGCCUAGAAAUUCAUCCUAAUAGUGUUAUUUGCAAUCUCUAAAUGCAAACUUUGAAAAGACAAAUUUGGUGACCCAUAUGCUAAACAUUAAUUAAUUAGAAUGUUUAGGGAAUGGAAUGUUCUUAUUAACUUAAAUUUCUAACUAAAUGUGAUUAAGGCUUUUAAAAAAUCCAUAAACCUUUAUAUUUCAGAUCUUGUCACUAGAAUUCUUAAUAAAAUAUUUGGCUUGUGAAGGCUUUGAAA